rnacentral:rRNA from 1 species
CCAAUAGCGUAUAUUAAAGUUGUUGCAGUUAAAAAGCUCGUAGUUGAACUUCGGGGUUUACUUAUUGGUCAGGCUUAAUUGUCUGUACUGGUGAGAUGAAUCUCUACCUUCUGAGGAACUUUCAUGCCAUUUAUUUGGUGUGAUGGGAAAUCAGGACUGUUACUGUGAAAAAAUUAGAGUGUUUAAAGCAGGCUAACGUCUGAAUACAUUAGCAUGGAAUAAUGAAAUAGGACGGACUGAUUCUAUUUCGUUGGUUUCUAGGAUCACCGUAAUGAUUAAUAGGGAUAGUUGGGGGCAUUAGUAUUCAAUUGUCAGAGGUGAAAUUCUUGGAUUUAUUGAAGACUAACUACUGCGAAAGCAUUUGCCAAGGAUGUUUUCAUUAAUCAAGAACGAAAGUUAGGGGAUCGAAGACGAUCAGAUACCGUCGUAGUCUUAACCAUAAACUAUGCCGACUAGGGAUCGGACGAAGUUAAUUUUAUAAUGACGCGUUCGGCACCUUACG